CCUACGGGAGGCUGCAGUGGGGAAUAUUGGGCAAUGGGCGCAAGCCUGACCCAGCAACGCCGCGUGAAGGAAGAAGGUUUUCGGGUUGUAAACUUCUUUUCUGAGGGACGAAGAAAGUGACGGUACCUCAGGAAUAAGCCACGGCUAACUACGUGCCAGCAGCCGCGGUAAUACGUAGGUGGCAAGCUUUAUCCGGAUUUAUGGGGUGUAAAGGGCGUGUAGGCGGGAAAGCAAGUCAGAUGUGAAAACUCAGGGCUCAACCCUGGGCCUGCAUUUGAAACUGUUUGUCUUGAGUGCUGGAGAGGCAAGCGGAAUGCCGGGUGUAGCGGUGAAAUGCGUAGAUAUACGGAGGAACACCAGUGGCGAAGGCAGCCUGCUGGACGAAAACUGACGGUGAGGCGCGAAAGCGUGGGGAGCAAACAGGAUUAGAUACCCUAGUAGUC
rnacentral:rRNA from 1 species